UGUGUACUCCCUCCAUCCGAAAAUACUUGUCAUCAAAAUGAACAAAAAGGAAUGUAUCUAAAACUAAUAUACAUCCAGAUACAUCUUUUUUUAUUCAUUUUGAUGACAAAUAUUUCCGGACGAAGGGAGUACGUU
rfam:Triticum aestivum genome assembly, contig: Triticum_aestivum_CS42_TGACv1_scaffold_499486_6BL